CCUGCCUUGGGGCAUCAGGAGUGGAGUUCUGUGUUUUAUAUGGUAACAUGAUGCUUUUUAUUCUUUCUGAUUGCAAUGAAGCUAUGCCUCUUAUAAACACAAACCGCCUUUGGCUAGAUCAUCAGGAAGUUCUCUCUUUCUACACCAAAAGUAGAAUGUCAGCACAGAAUACGAAGUUGCCUGGUCAACUCUGCAAGAUCUCAAAUUCUACAGCUACUUGGGUUGCACCAUACAUAUUUUCCAGGCUGAAUAUCUUGAAAUUCUUCCACCUUUGCUACCAAAGAGAAACUUGUGUAAAUUCUCACUUUGUCGUCACACCUGUUGGAAAUCACCGUUACAACUUAGGUGUGAAAAAAAUGUGACUGAACUAUACGUAGUAAGGAAAGUACACACGCCAAUCUCAAUUGUUACAGUAGAAAGAAUCUUUCCCAUAAAGAACAACGUGAUGAUUUUCACACUGAACUUUCUGCCACGUAUCUGCAGAACUGCCACAGAUGUACAUGCACAUCCAACCUGAAAUCAGCCCUGAGAGUAGAUGGGUAAACUCAACAUGGUAAAACCAAUGAGAGACUUUGACCUUUUGAAGCUGGUUAAGACUCAACCACCUCUGUAUGUUGUCACCACCAGCAAGAAAAAAGCAAAGGUGCUACAACAUAUCUGCAUCUACAAGUCUUCAUCAACUGGAUUUCCCCUCAACAGGACACAGCAGCUUACCCAGCAUCUCCUUUCCCUUUGAAAUGAGGGUUCUUUUCCUUAGUCUGUUCUCAACACCACUCGCAAACUGAAAUGGAUAUCAUACAUUACUAAUACAUGCCACUGUUUUACUGUUUUUCUCUGACCACGGCAAUGCAGCAGUGGAAGAAGAUUCUGCCUUAGGAUUUCUUUUACCAAGAGAUAACUAUUAGCUUCUUCUUUUUUUUUUCCUCUCAUGAAAAAGCAUCAACAUUCACAUCAUCAGCCUGUGUGCUCAGACCACUGCUUCCUCAGAUCAGUAAUGGAACAUCCCCUGGAUGUGGAGACACAUUUUAAACUGCAUGGUGACUCUGGUGAGUGUUGCAGACCCAACACAGCCUGUGGGGGCAAUAUAAUAGGGGAUUGAAAGAGAAGAUCCUCCCCCACACCGAAAACAUUUUCUGCACUCAUGUCUGUGGCACAAAUAGAUGGACUGAGCUCCAGCACAUCUGAGCACAAGGCUUCUGCUUCCAGGAGCUUGCAAGCCCCACAUUGGGGGUUAACAACUUAGCCCUUCCCCAUAGAAGCAGAAGGAAGCUCUAGUUUUGCAGGAUGCUCUUAUGCACAUCUGAGAGGCGGGCAGUGCAGAUCUGGUGCUUGCACUCUCUUUUUUUUUCUUCCAAUUUUAUUAAAAUACUUAGCAGAGAGAAUCACAUCUCCUUACUAGAUGCCACGCAUUAUCCACUGAUAAGCAGUAAACAUCAACCCCAGUUUUUCAUCUUACACUGUAUUAUCCUGAAGCCGACUUAAUAUGGAAUGACACCUUAUGAUUCUGUAUUUAAAAGAAGGUAAAAUACGUUCAAGCAUCUUCAUCACAGCUACGG